rnacentral:misc_RNA from 1 species
UCUAUGGAGAUUGAAGUUGUGAUAUGAAUUAACUGUUCAGUUUUGAAGGAUUAAAAAAUCUUUCAAAUUAUAAUAUUGCACCUUGAAAACUGAAUACAAGAAGAAGUAAGAGUCAAAAAUCGAGAAAAGAAAUACUUUUGAAAUAAAAACUUCUAAAAAGAAGAAACGCUACAUCAUAAAGGUCAAGCAAGAAAGAGCAUGAGGUGAAUGCCUUGGCACUGGGAGCCGAUGAAGGACGUGAUAAGCUGCGAAAAGCUUCGGGGAGGCGCACAUAGCCAUUGAGCCGGAGAUGUC